AUGAACGCUGGCGGCGUGCCUAAUACAUGCCAGUCGCGCGGACAGACGAGGAGCUUGCUCCUCUGACGUUAGCGGCGGACGGGUGAGUAACACGUGGAUAACCUACCUAUAAGACUGGGAUAACUUCGGGAAACCGGAGCUAAUACCGGAUAAUAUAUUGAACCGCAUGGUUCAAUAGUGAAAGACGGUUUUGCUGUCACUUAUAGAUGGAUCCGCGCCGCAUUAGCUAGUUGGUAAGGUAACGGCUUACCAAGGCGACGAUGCGUAGCCGACCUGAGAGGGUGAUCGGCCACACUGGAACUGAGACACGGUCCAGACUCCUACGGGAGGCAGCAGUAGGGAAUCUUCCGCAAUGGGCGAAAGCCUGACGGAGCAACGCCGCGUGAGUGAUGAAGGUCUUCGGAUCGUAAAACUCUGUUAUUAGGGAAGAACAAAUGUGUAAGUAACUAUGCACGUCUUGACGGUACCUAAUCAGAAAGCCACGGCUAACUACGUG
rnacentral:rRNA from 1 species